UCGGUAUGAACAUUUUGGAAGACAUGUGUCUGCUUAGUUUUAAUCACAGUCAGGAGUCCCAUAUCCGAUUAAACACAAUGACAGACAUUCUGUCUUGAGAGAUAUCCAUGUUUGCUUGAGUUGGAUAUUCACAUAAAAGAUUAAGCUAAGAGUGAAAUUGAGUUGAAGUUUGGCUGGUCUGGAGAGGGAAAUCUAGGUGCCAUGCAAUUCAAAUGUCAUGUUAGAAGCUAGGAUUGUUAAUAUUAGCUGCAUAAGAAGCGCUUCAGUGAGUUGAGGAAGGAUAAACACUCAAUUAAAGCUGUCAGUGUCGAAGAUAAUUUAAAAAAAAAACUUAGAAAAAUAAUAUAAGAGAGAGAGAAAGCAAAAACUAUAGGAAAAUUCAUUGGAGAAAAACAAAUCUACUUAAGGAUACGACAGUUAUAAUUGGGACCAUUAGAGCAGGAAAUUCACUUUGAUUAGACUGCUCAUCGUUGGCAGCCUUUUUACUUGAAGAAACCCUUGGCUACCAACCCAAGAGGAGAAAGAACUUGUAGUAAUAGUUGAUUCAGUUUGAUUCUGUGACAUUGCAAGUGAUUCUUAUUCCAUGAACAAUUCCACUAUUUAAAAAACCACUAUUCAGAAGCAGUUAGGAACUUCAAGCCAUCAUUACUUCCAGAAGCAGGAAGGUUUAGGAUCAUCCUUCCUCUUAUUGCCUUUACUUAACAAAUAAUUAUCUGAAGUUAUAUACCUUUGAUAUCCAACCUUUCUGGUUUCAAUAAC
rnacentral:lncRNA from 1 species